rnacentral:rRNA from 1 species
UACGUAGGGUGCAAGCGUUGUCCGGAAUUAUUGGGCGUAAAGAGCUCGUAGGCGGUUUGUUGCGUCGGCUGUGAAAUCCCGAGGCUCAACCUCGGGUCUGCAGUCGAUACGAGCAAACUAGAGUGUUGCAGGGGAGACUGGAAUUCCUGGUGUAGCGGUGAAAUGCGCAGAUAUCAGGAGGAACACCGGUGGCGAAGGCGGGUCUCUGGGCAACAACUGACGCUGAGGAGCGAAAGCGUGGGGAGCGAACAUG